UAGGGAAUCUUCGGCAAUGGACGGAAGUCUGACCGAGCAACGCCGCGUGAGUGAAGAAGGUUUUCGGAUCGUAAAGCUCUGUUGUAAGAGAAGAACGAGUGUGAGAGUGGAAAGUUCACACUGUGACGGUAUCUUACCAGAAAGGGACGGCUAACUACGUGCCAGCAGCCGCGGUAAUACGUAGGUCCCGAGCGUUGUCCGGAUUUAUUGGGCGUAAAGCGAGCGCAGGCGGUUAGAUAAGUCUGAAGUUAAAGGCUGUGGCUUAACCAUAGUAGGCUUUGGAAACUGUUUAACUUGAGUGCAAGAGGGGAGAGUGGAAUUCCAUGUGUAGCGGUGAAAUGCGUAGAUAUAUGGAGGAACACCGGUGGCGAAAGCGGCUCUCUGGCUUGUAACUGACGCUGAGGCUCGAAAGCGUGGGGAGCAAACAGGAUUAGAUACCCUGGUAGUCCACGCUGUAAACGAUGAGUGCUAGGUGUUAGACCCUUUCCGGGGUUUAGUGCCGUAGCUAACGCAUUAAGCACUCCGCCUGGGGGAGUACGACCGCAAGGUU
rnacentral:rRNA from 1 species